UGUGGUGGUGGCGGGGCCGGCGAGCGAGGUCUCCAGCGCCUCGUCGGGCUGCUCACCGCCAUCGGCCUGCGGCUCGGCGCCGCCGUCCCGCCCA
rnacentral:tRNA from 1 species